rnacentral:lncRNA from 1 species
CAAGCAAAUCAGUUAAUAUGGCCAAAUAAAUGUGUUAAACUAUUCUAUUAAAAGACAAACUCUCAGACUGUGUAAAAACUUAUACCUCCCUCCAAAGUAUCCCUUUAAAACAUGGCCAUCUUAAUGGAGAAGACAGAUUCUUGGAAAAAGGGUUUCCAGACACCUGUGGAAUGGAAAGCCAGCAGAAAACCACCCACCCAUCCAUCCUUCCAUCUGUCAUUCACUUGAGCGGCAUCUCCUGAAUAUUUAUAAGGCAGGGGGCUGGUUGUGGAGGAUUUGAUGGUGAACAGACAUUGCAUCAGCUCUGGGGAAGGUGGCAUUCUGGAGAGGAACACGUCUGUGGUUAGAGGAGGUUACUCUACUCACACGCUGUGAAGGGAAGAACAGCAAGCACAGGUCUGACCCCAACCCCCAGCAAGGAAGUCAACUUGAAGCAGGCAGGGUCAUUAUAUAAUGGGUCAUUUGUGUCCAUAAAUUUCAUAUAGAAAAAAAAUCAGACUAAAUAACUGCCCAUACGCUUAAAAGGGAAUCCAUUCUAUGUACAUUUCAGUUCUUGAUGUUAACUUUUUUUUUCCUGCAGGGGCCACUUCCCAGGGUGGACCCUGGCCAUCCCACAUGCCCAGAGCUUGACUCUCCUCCAUAGGUGAUUCCUGGGAGCUGCUUGAACACAAAAGGGCUCUGAGCUACACAGGCCUUGGUGAUGAUAGGUGCCUGGACAUCUGUGUGCACAGAUCCUUCACAAUGCUGCGUAGAUGAGUGCCGUGAAACAGGGCCUAUGAUGUGCCAGGCAUGCUCCAGUCAGUGGAGAUACAGAAGUGACGAAGACAGAAAUGUCUACCAUCAGACAUGUUGCUUCCUUGUGAGGAAAAAAGACAGAGGGCGCCACUGCACAAACACUGUUGGAAUAGUGCCACGUGAUUGCCCUGCUUGGGCCUGGGGGUUACCAGCAGAUGCUGCGGAAAGUGCUAGGAUUCUGGCUCCAUGUGGAAGGGUCACCGGGAGGACCUCGCUGGGUGCUGCUCAUAUUUGUGACCAGACCAACAACUGGCUGACUCCAACUUGGAUGAAUUUGAGGACAUGUCUCUGGGGUGAAGAGUGGUCAACAAGAAAACCUCACGUUCCCUGCUCCAGGGGACGCAGCUGGGGAGGGUCUUGGUCGUGGAAAAUCGCUGCUGUCCCAGAGUCAGAAGACCGAGCAGGGUGCCUCACCUCCAACAUGAAAAAGAAAUAAAGAUCAAUAGAAACACACAAAAUGAGGUGCGGAAAAGGGAACUUGUGCCCUGAAAUCCCUCAAGACUAAUAGUUGAAAUUAUUGUGACAAGUGCAUUCUUGUCACAAUGGGCUAGUUGACAUUUCUCCAUUAAGAUAAAAAUUCCAGCAUUUUCUAAGGGAUGUCAGUUUAACGACAUUCUUUGAACAAAAUACCCAAGCUCGCUGACUUAGCCUCCCUUUGACAAGGUCUGACCUCUUUGUCUUCAAAGGUAAAUACCGACUCUGACAACGGGUGAAAAGCAUUCACUUCAAGUUGUUGCGAGCUCUCCCUGACAUACGUAUUCUGUGACCGAGAAUCACAGGGC